UGGCUGCAUGCUUGGAAGGAGGAAUGGCUCAGCUCAGGAGAGGAUUCAGUCCUGCCUUUUCUUUUCCCUCUCUUUGGUCUCCAGUUGUCCCUGCUGAUCCCAGAGGGGUUGUGCCUGGGUCUGAGCACUCUGCUGGCUUAGGGAGAUGUGAAAUUUGAACCUGGUGUUUACAGACCCUGGUGAAAGCCAAACUCUUUCCAGAGUCACUGUUCUGGUGGAAGCUCAGCAAUAAGGGAACAUGCUGGAACAGCAAAAUUCAGCAAAGCAAGGACAUCCUCAAAGGGGAGCUUUGCUGAGAUCAGUGGCAGGAAAAGUAUUCUGUGGAUUAAAUCAAGCAACAGCAAUUGCCACAAGGCUUCCCAUGGAUUGUUCAGAAGUUCCUCCCUUGUUCCCAGCACCAGCUCCCCGUGAACAGUUUUCCUCACAAGACCAGGCUAGUGCAGCUCCUGGAAGAAACCUCUUCCAACUUCUUGUUGCACUUAAUAAAUGUGAAACUGCAAGGACAAGAUGGUUGAUGCAGGAAGAACAGAGUGUGCCACAAUAUUAUAAAUGGUCAUUUCUGCAGAGUACCUCAUAGUGACACAUUUAUUGGUGCUAUUUUCCAGAGGCUGCCCAUAGCUAAAAUCAUAUAUCUUGGGGACAAAGCUCUGCACAUUGCCAGCCACAUAUGGCUCAUUGUGGAAACAAACAGCAAUUGAGUUCAAAAAGGCAUUUUUUUUUCUCACAGCCACUGAUGCCUCAAACCAUGGAAAUAUAUUAUAUUUUCAGUAAUUACUCUCUGCAGUUCAUAAUUACCCAACAUAUGCAGAGUGGUGGGAGUUUCCAGCAGAAGCAACUUGACUAUUCAGCACCAGCAGGAGAGAUGAAAACCAGACAUGAUCUCUUCCUUGUGAUAUUGGCCUGCUCUGUGCUGGACUCUCACUUGAACCCAAAAUUUUGGGACUCCAGGAAUUAUAUAUCCACAGGGACUACAUAACACACCUAAGGGAGAAUAAGUUUUAAAGUUAUUAUCACUCUGUGUCCCCACUGGAACAGACAAUACAACUUUCAAAUUAUUUUGUAUAAUAAAACACUGAGUUCAAGAGCCAUUGAUCAGCUCAAUUUCUCAUCUCCAGCUGCCCUUGGGCUUAAAAGAGAUGGGUUUUCCACCCCCUGGUUUAUCAAACACAGAUUUUUACCAAAUCUCCAAAGCUCAAAUCAAAAAAACCCCAAUAUUGAGUAGAGGGAAGAGUGGAAGAGAGAUGACACUGCUUAAAACUACCUCAACAAUACAUUUGCCACUCCUGUGCUCUUCAGCCACCUUGAGAUAUUUGCAUCUGCUUCUUCACCUAUAUCUUACUUGGGCAUCUAAAUAUUUCAUAUGAAAAAAUUGAAGUGAAAUAUUCUUGUGUCAAAUCAAAGGAAGAUUAUUGCCCUGUAGGCUGUGCCUCCUCCUCCUGCUAGCAUUGUUUCUCCAUGGGGACAAUGCUGGUGUGAGAAGUCGCCUAUCUUAGGGGCAGCUCAAAAAACAGAAGGUGGAGUUUUGUGCUUGAUAUUGAACUGUGUUUUGAAGUCACUGCAGAAAAUCCAGGUAAUCCCUAAAGAGAUGGGUGAUGACACAACAAAAUAAAUUUUUAUACACACCCAAGGUAGUACUAAACAGGAUGGGAAUUCCCCUAUGGAAAGAAGAGCAGGAAAUGUAACAAAAUCACUUUUUAAACCAGUUAAAGUGGCUAAAGACAGCCACUGGCUUGUACCAUGCAUGUCUGGGUAAAAUAUUUUCAAACUGUUUUUCCUUCAGUGUUACAUUAGGUUCUCUGCCCAGGCUGUAGUUUCAGCCUCAAUCAUCUACAUUUUACAGGCUCAGACAAACAUCUUUAUGCAUUUUUCAUGCAUUCAUAAUUUUUCAGUGACCUUGUAAAUGUCUUCACUUACUUUAUCGUGCUUUUUAAAACCUCUCUCUAAAUCUCUUCUUUGUUGUAUUGUCUCAUAUUUUUUUUUAAUAAACUCAUAGAAUUUAGCUUUGAGGCUGAAAGGCACUGAAAUAGAAAUGGGACCAAAUGACACAGCUGUUGACUGCUUUCCUAGGACUUGCCCCACUUUUGCUUGUAAAAAUUCUAAAGUUUCUCUUCAGUGACAACUUUGAUUAGAGAAGUGACUAGAUUCAGAAUGUAUCUGUUCAAAACAUAAUUAUAAUUGAUUUUUUAUGUUGAAAACUUAAACCAAUUGAUUUGGUUUUUAUUUUCAUAUCUCUUUAGAUUUUUUUUCUUCUCAAAUUUAUCUUCAGGUUAACUAUUUUAUUUUAAUCUAAAUUUUGAUGGUUCUUAGUGGAGCUGCUUUUUUAGUGAGACAGGUCCUCAAUUGCGUGACCCAGGGUAGAUGUGACAGUGAGGAGCUUAAAUGUGAGAUGUCAUUCAUUUUCCCUCUAAAGACAGAAAUUAAAUGAAAAAUAUAACCCAGAAUUAUUCCUGUUGUAGUUUAUUACUUAUUUUUCUGCUUACAAAAAUAAUUUUUCAGUGCAGUCAUUAAUUUUGUCAUUGUGGAACAGGGGUACACAACAUGUACAAUAAAUCCCAGGCAGCAGGUGGGACAUCAAUGAAUAAACAAAAGGAAAAAAUCACCCUGUAGAAAGAUGUAAAAACUCCCUAAUAUUUUUUUCUUAUUUUUUAUUUAAUAUUUUGUUAGCUGCAAAAGAAGUUCAGGCUUGACUACACGAAAUUGCCUUUUUAGUCAAUCCUUUAAACAUUCUGUAAUAUCAUAGUAUAGAUAUUAAUAUUGAACAUUUUAAGCUCAAUGUAGUUAAUUAGCACUAAGCAUUUAUUAGGCAUCUCUAGGAGAAGAAUGCUUUCUGCCCAAAUUGGGGAAAGAGGUCUGAGGUCAUGUGCUCCUGCACAGGUGGCAGCAUAGUGGUUGUAUAUUAUUUUGUUGCUUUAAACUUGGGGUUAUUUUUUUUAAAAUUUUUUUUGUUGGAGCUGUGGCUCUUUGUAUCACUUUUCAUGGCUGUCCAGAUCUAGUCUGCCUUAGGGCAGCGAUUUUCUGGGCUUCAGAGAAUUCUUGUGUAAGUGGAAAAGGAAGAUAAAUAAACACACUGGUUACCCAGCCAAGAUAAAGUAUAGGUCUGCUCUUGCAUAACAUCUAGCUCUCUGUAUUUAUAAAAAUAAAGAAUCAUUUCAGCUUGCUUUAAGUUCCCCAGAGGAAGAAGAGCAAUUUCUUUGGGGAGAGGUAAAUACUUCAAGAGAAAAAUAUCCUUUUUUUACCAUUAUCUAGAUCAUAGUUUCCAGCGGGAACGCUAAGUAAAAAAUUGCAGGUGUUUACUCUAAAGGGUUCUGUACAUCAGCUGCUUUGAUAAAGACAUGACAACAGUCAUUAGGAUUGCUGUUCCUGUCAGAACUUGGGAUGAAGUUUCCAAAAGUAGUCAGCCUCCUUGUUCUGCUCUAUUUCAGUGCAAAUUAGGGUAAAAGCUGAAUAUCCAGAUAGAUCUGAAUGCUUACAAAGGAGCUGGCAGCCCUCAAACCCUUCCAGAGGGUAUUUGUCUGUGUGUUUAGCAACCCUCAACCAGUUCUGUCCAUCUAUUUCUUGAUGUGCAAUUUUUAAUAUGAACUAAAAGUUUAACGAUGAACUGCCUCUUGUUGUGGACCUCAAUUUGGUGUCCCCAGCUCUCAUACUGAAAAGACUGUGCACAAACAGCCCCAUUCUCUUUGGAAUUCCUGAUUUUGCCUCCUUUUCUUGCAUCCUUUUUCUCUAUCUGCCUUGAGCAUCUCUACCCCAGGGUGACAGUUCCAAGCCUGCUUAGCUUGGCUGCUUCUAAGCUAUUCUAGAUCUCAGCUGAUCUUUCUUUUUUCUCUCCUUUUUGACCUUUUACAUUUCUCUUAUUAAUAGGGAGAUGCAGAAAGAUGCAGACUCUUGCCUAUUUGUUAAUCUCAGAGAAAUUUUUCUGGAGAAUCUUUCUCCUUCUCCUCAUUCUUAGAGGCUCCUGCUACAUUUUAUGCUGUCAGAUACUUGUCAGGCUUAUGUUUGCACCUCCCUGCUAAUUACUGAAUAAUAAUUUAUCUACAUAUUAACUACCACAGUCUUCUUGUCUGAUUUCAAUGGCUUUAUUGCCACUUCUGAUUUAUGGAUGA